rnacentral:RNase_P_RNA from 1 species
GAUGACUGCUGCAUUAUUGCAGAGGAAAGUCCGGGCUCCACCAGAUAAAAGUGCCAGGUAACGCCUGGCGAGGGAAACCUCAGGGAAAGUGCCACAGAAAAUAACCGCCUUUGGGUAAGGGUGAAAAGGUGUGGUAAGAGCACACCGCAUGGUUGGUAACAAGCAUGGCAUCGGUAAACCCCACUUGGAGCAAGACCAAAUAGAGAAAACAUAUAGCAUAUCUGGAGCUUGUUUUCUGGGUCGGUUGCAAGAGAAAAGCAGUGAUGUUUUUCCUAGAUGAAUAGUCAUCAUGUGAUAUAUUAUAUUGCAAACAGAACCCGGCUUAUCGUUCAUCUCG